CAAAUGGAUGAUUUCGUAUGUAAAUAAGGGCCUCAAAAAGAAAAGGGCACCGAGACGGUGAUCCCCUUAAUAGAUAUCUACUCGAAUUAGUUCUAGUGACUCAUCUUCCACAUCCAGAUGAUCGCUCUACCUAUUACGAAAGUACAACUAGUGCUUCUAUGAUAAGCUUUGAUUUGACCGAAGAUGCGAAAAUGAUAGGGCAGAGCGGAAGGGCACCCCCAGAACGUAAAAUACUACAAUCCUCUAAAAGAAAAGGCCAUACAGUCAUCCGGAG
rnacentral:misc_RNA from 1 species